GGAGUUGGCUGGACAGUCGCUGUAUCGCUUCGGUGAUAUGGAGGAAAGUCCGGGCUCCACAGGGCAGAGUGCCAGGUAACGCCUGGGGGGUGUGAGCCCACGGAAAGUGCAGCAGAGAGCAGACCGCCUAAGCGCGCAAGCGCCGGUAAGGGUGAAAGGGUGCGGUAAGAGCGCACCGCGCGACUGGUAACAGUUCGUGGCAUGGUAAACCCCACUCGGAGCAAGACCAAAUAGGAACCCGUUGGUGCGGCCCGCACUGGGUUCGGGUAGGUUGCUACAGGCAGUCAGUGAUGGCUGUCGCAGAGGAAUGACUGUCCUCGACAGAACCCGGCUUACAGGCCAGCUCCCAUU
rnacentral:RNase_P_RNA from 1 species